UUGAUACUCCCUCCGUCCGAAAAUAGUUGUCAUCGAAAUGAAUAAAAGGGGAUGUAUCUAGAUGUAUUUUAGUUCUAGAUACAUCCCUUUUUGUCCAUUUUGAUGACAAGUAUUUCCGGAUGGAGGGAGUAUUUC
rfam:Triticum aestivum genome assembly, contig: Triticum_aestivum_CS42_TGACv1_scaffold_470970_6AL